GAAUUUGGGAAUGAAGUUCUCCCAUGGGAAACCAGAACCGCUGAUUUCAGCUGAUGACUUCUACGAUU
rnacentral:ncRNA from 1 species